rnacentral:rRNA from 1 species
ACGGAGGGGGCUAGCGUUGUUCGGAAUUACUGGGCGUAAAGCGCGCGUAGGCGGCUUUGUAAGUUAGAGGUGAAAGCCCGGGGCUCAACUCCGGAACUGCCUUUAAGACUGCAUCGCUUGAACAUCGGAGAGGUAAGUGGAAUUCCGAGUGUAGAGGUGAAAUUCGUAGAUAUCAAGUGGAACACCGGUGGCGAAGGCGGUCUUCUGGACAGUGACUGACGCUGAGACGCGAAAGCGUGGGGAGCAAACAGGA